rnacentral:rRNA from 1 species
AUUGAACGCUGGCGGCAUGCCUUACACAUGCAAGUCGAACGGUAACAGGUCUUCGGAUGCUGACGAGUGGCGAACGGGUUAGUAAUACAUCGGAACGUGCCUAGUAGUGGGGGAUAACUACUCGAAAGAGUGGCUAAUACCGCAUGAGAUCUACGGAUGAAAGCAGGGGAUCGCAAGACCUUGUGCUACUAGAGCGGCCGAUGGCAGAUUAGGUAGUUGGUGGGAUAAAAGCUUACCAAGCCGACGAGCUGUAGCUGGUCUGAGAGGACGAUCAGCCACACUGGGACUGAGACACGGCCCAGACCCCGACGGGAGGCAGCAGUGGGGAAUUUUGGACAAUGGGCGCAAGCCUGAUCCAGCAAUGCCGCGUGCAGGAUGAAGGCCUUCGGGUUGUAAACUGCUUUUGUACGGAACGAAAAGCCCUGGGUUAAUACCCUGGGGUCAUGACGGUACCGUAAGAAUAAGCACCGGCUAACUACGUGCCAGCCGCCGCGGUAA